rnacentral:sRNA from 1 species
CUUGGUCAUUUAGAGGAAGUAAAAGUCGUAACAAGGUCUCCGUUGGUGAACCAGCGGAGGGAUCAUUACCGAGUACUAUAACUCAUAACCCUUUGUGAAUCUUUAUACCUGUUGCUUCGGCGGCGCGCCUCCCGGGGCGUGCCCGCCGGCAUUAUCAGAAUCUCUGUUCGAACCCGACGAUACAUCUGAGUGUUCUAAGCGAACUGUUAAAACUUUCAACAACGGAUCUCUUGGCUCCAGCAUCGAUGAAGAACGCAGCGAAACGCGAUAUGUAAUGUGAAUUGCAGAAUUCAGUGAAUCAUCGAAUCUUUGAACGCACAUGGCGCCUUCCAGUAUCCUGGGAGGCAUGCCUGUCCGAGCGUCGUUUCAACCCUCGAGCCCCCGUGGCCCGGCGUUGGGGAUCUGCCCAGGCAGUCCCCGAAAACCAGUGGCGGACCCGUUGGGCCCUUCCUUUGCGUAGUAACAUCUGCCUCGCAUCGGGAGCCUGCGGGCUAUCCGGCCUCUAAACCCCCCUCAAGCCCGCUCCGGCGGCACCAAGGUUGACCUCGGAUCAGGUAGGAAUACCCGCUGAACUUAAGCAUAUCAAUAAGCGGAGGAAAAGAAACCAACAGGGAUUGCCUCAGUAACGGCGAGUGAAGCGGCAACAGCUCAAAUUUGAAAUCUGGCUCCUUCGGGGCCCGAGUUGUAAUUUGCAGAGGAUGCUUCGGGUACGGGUUCCUUCCGAGUUCCCUGGAACGGGACGCCAUAGAGGGUGAGAGCCCCGUCUGGUAGGACACCCAGCCCGUGUGAAGCUCCCUCGACGAGUCGAGUUGUUUGGGAAU